ACAUUACACUUGAUAAAAGUGAAGUGAUUUAACUAUUAUAUUGUUGCAAUGUCAUAAUGAUUCAAGGUUUUUUUUACAACUAUGAGCAUGAGAACGUAUACCUACUAUGUGCUCUGAUCAAGUGCAGCCGUUGGAGCACUACUAGUCCUUAUGGAGCUUGGUGGAAUGCUGAAUUCGAUCUACACAGGAUUGCACAACAUGUCCUACCUAUAUUUCGAGAUCAGUUGAUAGGCUUGCGUCCUGAAGAGAUGACACCGUAGAGUCCGAUCACCAGGACCCACCAGCCAAACUGGAUUCGAUGAGGGUCAUAGGCUACUGAGCACCAUGUUGGCGCAUCUACUCUAAUCAUACUUCAGACUCAAUUCAUGCAAGAGCACACUACAUCCAUUGGGCAAUCUAGGUCCCCAGUUAUUUUUUCGGAGUUUACAUCUGGUGGGGACUUACAUCAUGAUAGUUCUGAACAACAUGCAGAAUGUACAAAUGAAGAUUAGAGCAUCAAAAAUCGUGAUGCUACACUAGAGUCAUAGAUUACUCAAGUCAGUACAGUAAUGCUAGACCUGCCAUGUCAAACACAAAGAAUACGUAAACGUAGUGGAUGUGGUACUCUU